UACAGCGGUCAUAGGAAGGGGGUCACACCCGUUCCCGUCUCGAACACGGAAGUUAAGCCCCUUCACGACGCGGCGAGUACUAAGCUCUGCUUGGGAAAGCCCGUUGCUGCUGGCA
rnacentral:rRNA from 1 species